GUGCUACUCCCUCCGUCCCAAAAUUCUUGUCUUAAAUUUGUUCAAACACGAAUGUAUCAAGUCACGUUUUAGUAUUAGAUACAUCCGUAUCAAGACAAAUCUAAGACAAGAAUUUUAGAACGGAGGAAGUACAUU
rfam:Triticum aestivum genome assembly, contig: Triticum_aestivum_CS42_TGACv1_scaffold_320372_4BL